rnacentral:rRNA from 1 species
GACGAACGCUGGCGGCGUGCUUAACACAUGCAAGUCGAACGGAGUGGCGAACGGGUGAGUAACACGUGGGUGACCUGCCCUUCACUUCGGGAUAAGCCUGGGAAACUGGGUCUAAUACCGGAUAGUGUGGGAUGGGCCCGCGGCCUAUCAGCUUGUUGGUGGGGUACUGGCCUACCAAGGCGGCGACGGGUAGCCGGCCUGUGAGGGUGGACGGCCACAUUGGGACUGAGACACGGCCCAGACUCCUACGGGAGGCAGCGGAGGGGAAUAGUGCACGAUGGGCGGAAGCAGGAUGCAGCGACGCCGGGUGGGGGAGGACGGCCUUCGGGUUGUAAACUCCUUUCACCAGGGACGCGGUAGAUGGAGAGGAAGCACCGGCUAACUACGUGCCAGCCGCCGCGGUAAUUC